UGGUGGAGCGAUUUGUCUGGUUAAUUCCGAUAACGAACGAGACUCUAGCCUAUUAAAUAGUUCGCCGAUUUUUCGAGUCGGCAUCAACUUCUUAGAGGGACAAGUGUCGUAUUGGCACGCGAGAUUGAGCAAUAACA
rnacentral:rRNA from 1 species